UACGGAGGAUGCAAGCGUUAUCCGGAUUUAUUGGGUUUAAAGGGUGCGCAGGCGGGGAUGUAAGUCAGUGGUGAAAAGCUGCCGCUUAACGGUAGUCUUGCCAUUGAUACUGCAUUUCUUGAGUAUGGUUAAGGUAGGCGGAAUGUGCAGUGUAGCGGUGAAAUGCAUAGAGAUUGCACAGAACUCCGAUUGCGAAGGCAGCUUACUGAGCCAUAACUGACGCUGAGGCACGAAAGCGUGGGGAGCGAA
rnacentral:rRNA from 1 species